rnacentral:rRNA from 1 species
UACGGAGGGGGCUAGCGUUGUUCGGAAUUACUGGGCGUAAAGCGCACGUAGGCGGCUUUGCAAGUUAGAGGUGAAAGCCCGGGGCUCAACUCCGGAAUUGCCUUUAAAACUGCAUCGCUAGAGUUGUGGAGAGGUAAGUGGAAUUCCGAGUGUAGAGGUGAAAUUCGUAGAUAUUCGGAAGAACACCAGUGGCGAAGGCGACUUACUGGACACAUACUGACGCUGAGACGCGAAAGCGUGGGGAGCAAACAGG